GCAUAUCAAUAAGCGGAGGAAAAGAAAAUAACAAUGAUUCCCCUAGUAACUGCGAGUGAAGAGGGACAAGCUCAAAUUUUAAAUCUGUCGGGUUUUACCUGACCGAGUUGUAAUUUGAAGAAGCGUUUUCUGCGUAUUUGGUCAGCCUAAGUCCUAUUGAAUGAGGCAUCAUGGAGGGUGAUAAUCCCGUCCGGUUGAUCACUGCGUUUUACGAUACGCUUUCUAAGAGUCAAGUUGUUUGGGAUUGCAGCUUAAAAUGGGAGGUAAAUUUCUCCUAAGGCUAAAUAACGGCGAGAGACCGAUAGCGAACAAGUACCGUGAGGGAAAGAUGAAAAGAACUUUGGAAAGAGAGUUAAACAGUACGUGAAAUUGUUGAAAGGGAAACGAUUGAAGCCAGUCGUACCUGUGGGUAAUCAGCCUUUUGGGUGUGAUUUUGUGGAGUGUGAGGAGUUAAACGCCUUCAUGCCUGCAUAUUCGUGCACUUUGGGUGUAUUUACCCGUGUGGUAAGUUAACAUCAAUUUCGGUGGUCAUAAAAUGGCUGGAGGAAUGUAGCUUCGAUCUUGUAUUGAAGUGUUAUAGCCUUCGGUAGAUGUGAUGAUCGGGAUUGAGGAUUGCAACGGAUACCCUUCGGGGCUACCUGUCUGAUCUCUGAUCGUUGCUCUGGUGCCGAAAGCUUGCUUACGGUUAUCAAAGUCGAUGGUCAAUAGGUUAGAACGGGUUAAAUUCGUUAAGGAUGUUGACGUAAUGGCUUUAAACGAC
rnacentral:rRNA from 1 species